GUGUGUGUGUGUGCGACGCUCUGACCUCUCACCUCUGCGUCACACGUGUGACGUUUCGUUGUCUUUUUAAACAGCGACAUCUGUCGGCUCGAUGGAGAAAUACACCGGCGGAUUUAUUUAUUUAAUCCGGGGGUAUAAUUCAACCUGUGGCUAUGUUCACACUGCCAAUUUUUGAGUGAGUCUCGAAAUGUCACGUUCACGCAGCAACAGGAGUCAAGUCCAUAUUCCUUACCAUUAACCAUAGCAACAGUGACCAAAGUAUUUAAAACUUUCAGAUGACACACAGCUGAUUUAAUCAAUAAUACUUUUAAUAACAAUUUAUUUACUAAUAUUUGUUUGAAUUGAAUUGAAAUAUUAAAAUAAUUAACAUUUUAUAUAAAAUAAAAAUAUUUAAAUUAGUUUACAAGGCUAAUGUUUUAAAAGACAUUUUAUUGUUUGAAAACAGCACAAAACUGUAUAUUAAUAAUUGAGCGCAGCAGUAUUCUUAGCUUUCCCUGAAUUUAUUCUCCACAUUUCAUUGCCGUUUCAUUUGUUUAAGACUCAUUAAUUGUUUUCUCUUUUCUUUGUUAGUUCUUCUCAAACAUGUCUUUAUAAAGGUGCCUUUCUUGUCCAGAGAAUGGCCUUUUAUUCUCUCAGGUGUGUAGGUGGAGCGAUGUGGGAUCAGGUGUUGGAUCGCUCUUUAAAAGCAUGUGUUAGUCUCAAUAGUUCAGUAACUGCAUUCACUGGAGCGUCACACCUGCAAAUGGAGUGGCUUCAAGUCUUUGGAGUCCUGGGAUGUUUACUACUCUGCAGUGGAACUCUAACCUCGCCAAGCCCAGCACAGAAUCCCUCCUAUCUCAUAUCAGUCUCUGAAGUCCUGCGCUGUGGCGUCCCGACCACUUUAUCAGUCACCGUUCUGGCAGAGUAUCCCAUCAAGGUCACGGCUGAACUCAUCCAUGGAAACAGCAGUGUGGCCCAAACAGAGAGCACCAUCCCAGCAGGUACAUCACCAUCAUUUUGCUUUUUAUUGUGUUAUUUUAUUGCAUUGCAUUUAAUUAUCUUCUGGCUCAUCCCACAUUUGUAUAUCUCCUAUACACAUAUGUAAAGCAUUUAUUAUGUUAGCUCGACAAAACCAACAUAUACUGUUUGGUAAACUUGGUUUAGGUUUUUUUUUUUUUUUUUUUUUCUUAUCUUAUCUUAUCUUAUUAUUUUAUUUAUCAGACAUAAACUCUGAAUUUUUUUCUCUUAGUUUAUCUAAUGUUGUGUUUCAGUACGGAACGAUUAAUAAUUGAAAAUCUGAUACAUUUAGAAAAUCAGUAUUAAAUUAUUUCUAAAAAGCACGUUGCAGUUUCUUCAAUUAUUUAAUCAAUUAUUCACAUAUAUUCAAAUGUAUUAAUUUAGCCCGAGAUGCAAUACAAUGCAGUUUCUUAAAUCCUAAACACAUUAUUUGUCUGACAGAGUAUUUACAUUCAAAAUCACACUGUCUAACUGGAAAAGUGACCUUGUUAAGAUGACCUAUAAAAUGUACAUAUGAUUUAAUAUAAUAUACAGCUCCACCCUGUUCAAACAAGUAUUCAUGUCUGCUCUGCAUUCAUUUUAAAGGCUCUACCAGAC
rnacentral:lncRNA from 12 species